rnacentral:misc_RNA from 1 species
CCGAGUUUUACAAAACUCCCCAAAACCCUUUGUGAAACCUUACCGUAUCGUUUGCUUUCGGCGGGGACCCGCCCCCGGCGCCCUCGGGCCCGGAAACCAGGCCGCCCGCCGGAGGCCCCCAAAACCCUCAUGUCUUUUAGUGGUUUUUUCUCCUCUGAGUGGACACAUAAAACAAAUAAAUAAAA